GACACACCUGCUCUGUUCAUGUGAGCUGAGGUUGACCUAAGGACCGACACCCUGUUGUUCAUAACAGCAUGUGAGUGUCUGGAAGGGUGAAGGUGUGUGUUCACUACUCUCCCCUAAGAAAAAGUCUACACUACAAAAAGAAAAGACUCAAACGGACAGAGAGGCGACGCUAAAAGCUAAAAGAUCUGACCUGUCUAUCCUCAAGCCAUUAUACUCCACUUGCUCUUUGUUAAAAAAUAAAUAAAAAAAAGCCAAGCAUCAUGGGAAAAGGUGGGAGCGAGAUAUGGGACGAUGGAGAGCUGGUGGACACGGUGCAAACUCAGCCUAAGAAACAGGAGGAGACAAAGACUAAAAGCUCAGGGAAAAGCUGUCCCAAGUGCUGCUUGCAGACGAAGAACUGUCUGAUGAGCCCAGAGUGUGGCAGGGCCCUUCAGAUCUCCAGCGUCGUCGCCAUGUGUGGAAUGUGCAUCCGCAUGUUUAUAUAACCUAACCAUGGACUUCAGGAGCAGCUUUUUCCAGGCUGCGCUGAUUCAGCAACCCCCAGCACCCUUCAUGAGAGUCAUGCCUUAUGGGUUUCUACUAAUCUGAGAUGAAAUCCUGUCCCUUUAGCUCAAUUUCAUCAGCUGAAGUUCUCUUCAUUCUCUAUCCACAAGUUAUUUAUUUAACAAAUUCACUGCCUGUAUAUAAAACAAACUAGAAAGACAAUCAUUAUGAAUGAAUGGAUGGAUGUCGGAAACUUUUUUUUUUUUUUGGAUGCUUUCUGAUUGAUCAAAAUGCUACAGUAUUUACUCAAUGCAGAUGUUUAGAUUUAUAUUUAUAGUUCAGCAGUUUUUAAUAAUAAUAAUAAUAAUAUAUAUUAUGAUGGUAGCGCUGAUGUGUGGAGAAAUAUAUGUAUAUAUCUCUUAAAA